rnacentral:rRNA from 1 species
CCUACGGGAGGCAGCAGUGGGGGAUAUUGCACAAUGGGGGGAACCCUGAUGCCGCGACGCCGCGUGGGUGAAGAAGCGCCUCGGCGCGUAAAGCCCUGUCAGCAGGGAAGAAAAUGACGGUACCUGAAGAAGAAGCCCCGGCUAACUACGUGCCAGCAGCCGCGGUAAUACGGAGGGGGCAAGCGUUAUCCGGAUGUACUGGGUGGAAAGGGGGCGCAGACGGCGAUGCAAGCCAGGAGUGAAAGCCCGGGGCCCAACCCCGGGACUGCUCUUGAAACUGCGUGGCUGGAGUGCAGGAGGGGCAGGCGGAAUUCCUGGUGUAGCGGUGAAAUGCGUAGAUAUCAGGAAGAACACCGGUGGCGAAGGCGGCCUGCUGGACUGCAACUGACGUUGAGGCACGAAAGCGUGGGGAGCAAACAGGAUUAGAUACCCCAGUAGUC